rnacentral:rRNA from 1 species
AGUGAACGCUGGCGGCGUGCUUAACACAUGCAAGUCAAACGAACAAAAUCGGUGCUUGCACUGAUCUAGUUAGUGGCAGACGGGUGAGUAACACAUGGGAAUCUACCUUGCAGUACAGAAUAACUAUUGGAAACGGUAGCUAAUACUGUAUACAGCCGAGAGGCGAAAGAUCUAUCGCUGUAAGAUGAGCCCAUGCAAGAUUAGCUUGUUGGUGAGGUAAUGGCUUACCAAGGCUACGAUCUUUAGCUGGUCCAAGAGGAUGAUCAGCCACACUGGGAUUGAGAUACGGUCCAGACUCCUACGGGAGGCAGCAGUGGGGAAUAUUGGACAAUGGGCGAAAGCCUGAUCCAGCGACGCCGCGUGAGUGAUGAAGGCCUUAGGAUUGUAAAGCUCUUUUAGUGGGGAAGAUAAUGACGGUACCCACAAAAAAAGUCCCGGCUAACUUCGU